UUUUGAUUGGUGCCUACAAAUACAAAAGAAAACACAAUACCAUUUCAUGGAUUUCAAAAACAGAACUCACAAAACAUGCUAUUAAGAUUAGCACAGAAGAGAGAAGUGAGAUUUUUCUGUCAGUGCUCCAUGAAUUUUAAUCAAAGAAUGUAUGCAAUUGUAGAAUUUUCAGAGGAGGGAACAUGUGAAAUGGUGCCAGAUAUCUGGUUGUUUAUGAAGGAUGAGGUACAAUACUGUUACUGGCCACCAAUGAAUGCAACAAAAAAAAUACAAAAGCUUGAACUGCCCGAUAAAGAAAAUUGGGCCAAGCACAGGGUCAGGGUGUUUGCUAAAACAGAUGACUAUGAAAGAGCUAAAAAGUGGUCGAAAAAAGCAGCUGUGCAAUCUUCACUUGAGAGCUGUGAUGACUCCCCCAAAAGGAAAAGACGACCAGUGUGUCUCAGCAGCUCUGAUGAAGGUAUGAACCUGAGUAUGUGAAAAGUUCACAAUUAAAUGACUAAAGUAAUAUGACUAGAAAUAAUUAAAAAAUAUAUAUUUUUUAAAGAUAUUUCUGUACUACCUCGCCCUCAAAAGAAAAGCCGGUUGGAUUGCAAAACCACUGGUAGGCCUUCUUAAAGGAACACUUUUAAUUAUGAUUCUUUUAAAGGGUUAGUUCACCCAAUUUGCAAAAUUAUGUCAUUAAUAACUUGCCCUCAUGUCGUUUCAAACCCGUGAGACCUCUCUACCCUGUACGGUAUACUGUCCAUGUCCAGAAAGGUAAGAAAAACAUCAUCAAAGUAGUCCACGUAGUGGUAGUUUUUGCUAUUUUUGGACCAAAAUGUAUUUUCGAUUCUUCAAAAUAUUCUAACUGACCCUCUGAUGUC